CUGCGCGUAAGAUGUAACGGGGCUCAAACUGAUAACCGAAGCUGCGGAUGGGCGCGUAAGCGUCCGUGGUAGGGGAGCGUUCUGUAGGUCUGUGAAGGUGUCUCGUAAGGGAUGCUGGAGAUAUCAGAAGUGCGAAUGCUGACAUGAGUAGCGAUAAAGCGGGUGAAAAGCCCGCUCGCCGAAAGCCCAAGGUUUCCUACGCAACGUUCAUCGGCGUAGGGUGAGUCGGCCCCUAAGGCGAGGCUGAAAAGCGUAGUCGAUGGGAAACGGGUUAAAAUUCCCGUACUUUUAUGCAGUGCG
rnacentral:rRNA from 1 species